UAUCUUUGUAACUGUUUUGGUGAUGUAAACAGACACUCGUCUUUUACAUGAAAAGGGAAUCCGGUCAGAAUCCGGAACAGUACCCGCUACUGUGGUCUCUAUUCAGUUAACAGUUAACGGUCAUCAGUUAGCAAUGUUGCUGAAAAGUCUUUGAGCAAUACCAAAUACCACUGUUUCACAGUAAUCAGUGAUACAGUAAUCAGUAAACAGUCAAAAAAAACUGUUAACUGUUAACUGAUAACUGUUUACUGAAAAUGGGAAGGCCGUUCAAAGAUAGAGCAAGUCAGGAAACCUGCCGGACAAAAUAUUCGGUU
rnacentral:ncRNA from 2 species